CAGCCGCCGCGGUAAUACGGAGGAUCCAAGCGUUAUCCGGAAUCAUUGGGUUUAAAGGGUCCGUAGGCGGCUUUAUAAGUCAGUGGUGAAAUCUCCCCGCUCAACGGGGAAACGGCCAUUGAUACUGUAAGGCUUGAAUUAUUAGGAAGUAACUAGAAUAUGUAGUGUAGCGGUGAAAUGCUUAGAGAUUACAUGGAAUACCAAUUGCGAAGGCAGGUUACUACUAAUGGAUUGACGCUGAUGGACGAAAGCGUGGGUAGCGAACAGGAUUAGAUACCCUGGUAGUCCACGCCGUAAACGAUGGAUACUAGCUGUUGGGUGCAAACUCAGUGGCUAAGCGAAAGUGAUAAGUAUCCCACCUGGGGAGUACGUUCGCAAGAAUGAAACUUAAAGGAAUUGACGG
rnacentral:rRNA from 1 species